GAUGAACGCUGGCGGCGUGCCUAAUACAUGCAAGUCGAGCGAACGGACGAGAAGCUUGCUUCUCUGAUGUUAGCGGCGGACGGGUGAGUAACACGUGGAUAACCUGCCUAUAAGACUUGGAUAACUUCGGGAAACCGGUGCUAAUACCGGAUAAUAUUUUGAACCGCAUGGUUCAAAAGUGAAAGACGGUCUUGCUGUCACUUAUAGAUGGAUCCGCGCUGCAUUAGCUAGUUGGUAAGGUAACGGCUUACCAAGGCAACGAUGCAUAGCCGACCUGAGAGGGUGAUCGGCCACACUGGAACUGAGACACGGUCCAGACUCCUACGGGAGGCAGCAGUAGGGAAUCUUCCGCAAUGGGCGAAAGCCUGACGGAGCAACGCCGCGUGAGUGAUGAAGGUCUUCGGAUCGUAAAACUCUGUUAUUAGGGAAGAACAUAUGUGUAAGUAACUGUGCACAUCUUGACGGUACCUAAUCAGAAAGCCACGGCUAACUACGUG
rnacentral:rRNA from 1 species